ensembl:lncRNA
GUUAGUGAUUAUGAUGAUGAUUAGCAAGAUAUCCUGGUAGUAAGUAAGCAGGAAAAAAAGAAGUCAGUGUUUUCUGUGCCAAACAAGGGUGUGCCCAGUUUCAGUCAGGUUCACCAACUGGGUGAAUGACAGGGAGCUGCCUAGAAAAAACUUCAGAUCUGCUUCACCACUCAGGAACAGUCAGAGGUAUUUGUCUCCCCCUCUAGCAUGUGAGCUUCAAUGAAGGCAGAGACCUUGUCUCCUAUCUUCCUUGAUACAGUACAGCCCCUGCCCUCCGCACAGUGACUGACACACAGGUCCAAUGUCAAAGACCCCGAGGUGGGACAGAGCCAUUGAUUUCUGGCAGAUUCACAAGCAACUAUACCACCAUGCCAGACAUCACUAGUUGAUCACAGCAAUCUUUCCCACUGAGCAGGAAUGUGAUGUCACAAGGUAUUCCAACAAAAUACUCCAUGCACCCAUUAGAAUUAAAACCUGAGAUUAAAAUCUGAUUCCUGCUCUGGCCUUUAGACCAGAGGACAACAAUGGAAACUGAUAUGAGAGA